GACGAACGCUGGCGGCGUGCUUAACACAUGCAAGUCGAACGGAAAGGCCCUGCUUUUGUGGGGUGCUCGAGUGGCGAACGGGUGAGUAACACGUGAGUAACCUGCCCUUGACUUUGGGAUAACUUCAGGAAACUGGGGCUAAUACCGGAUAGGAGCUCCUGCUGCAUGGUGGGGGUUGGAAGUUUCGGCGGUUGGGGAUGGACUCGCGGCUUAUCAGCUUGUUGGUGGGGUAGUGGCUUACCAAGGCUUUGACGGGUAGCCGGCCUGAGAGGGUGACCGGCCACAUUGGGACUGAGAUACGGCCCAGACUCCUACGGGGGGCAGCAGUGGGGAAUAUUGCACAAUGGGCGGAAGCCUGAUGCAGCAACGCCGCGUGCGGGAUGACGGCCUUCGGGUUGUAAACCGCUUUCGCCUGUGACGAAGCGUGAGUGACGGUAAUGGGUAAAGAAGCACCGGCUAACUACGUG
rnacentral:rRNA from 1 species